rnacentral:rRNA from 1 species
GGACGGGAGUAAAGCGGCGAAAGGGUGAGUAAUACGUGGACAACCUGCCCCCGGAUCCGGGAUAACCCAGGGAAACUUGGACUAAUACCGGAUGGUAACUGAAGACCGCAUGGUUUUCGGAUUAAAGCUCCGGCGUCUGGGGAGGGGUUCACGGCCUAUCAGCUUGUUGGCGGGGUAACGGCCCACCAAGGCAAUGACGGGUAGCCGGACUGAGAGGUUGGUCGGCCACAUGGGCACUGAGACACGGGCCCAACACCUACGGGUGGCAGCAGUAGGGAAUAUUGCGCAAUGGGCGAAAGCCUGACGCAGCGACGCCGCGUGCGGGACGAAGCUUUUCGGAGUGUAAACCGCUUUUCUGGGGGAAGAAUACUGACGGUACCUCAGGAAUAAGCACCGGCUAACUCCGUGCCAGCAGCUGCGGUAAUACGGAGGGUGCGAACGUUGUUCGGAUUCACUGGGCGUAAAGGGUCCGUAGGCGGCCCGGCAAAUCGGUUGUGGAAUCCCGACGCUCACCGUCGGAAUUGUUGCCGAAAAUACCGGGCUGGAGGUCGUCAGGGGCGAGUGGAACUCAUGGUGGAGCGGUGAAAUGCGUAGAUAUCAUGAGGAACGCCGGAGGCGAAAGCGACUCGCUGGGACGAUUCUGACGCUGAGGGACGAAAGCUAGGGGAGCAAACAGGAUUAGAUACCCUGGUAGUCCUAGCCGUAAACGAUGAGGACUAAGUGGAGGAGAUUUCGGUUUUCUCUGCUGCAGCUAACGCAUUAAGUCCUCCGCCUGGGGAGUACGGCCGCAAGGUUAAAACUCAAAGGAAUUGACGGGGGCUCGCACAAGCGGUGGAGCAUGUGGUUCAAUUCGAUACCACGCGAAGAACCUUAUCCGGGCUUGAAGUGCUGGUGGUACCGAUCCGAAAGGUGAGGGACCCUUCGGGGAGCCAGCAUCAGGUGUUGCAUGGCUGUCGUCAGCUCGUGUCGUGAGAUGUUGGGUUAAGUCCCGUAACGAGCGAAACCCUUGCGCUUAGUUGCCACUCCCUUCGGGGAAGCACUUUAAGCGGACUGCCCGUGUCGAAUGGGAGGAAGGUGGGGAUGACGUCAAGUCAUCAUGGCCCUUAUGUCCGGGGCUACACACGUGCUACAAUGGCGUGUACAAAGGGUUGCCAACCCGCGAGGGGGAGCCAAUCCCAUCAAAGCACGCCCCAGUUCGGAUCGGAGGCUGCAACUCGCCUCCGUGAAGUUGGAAUCGCUAGUAAUCGCGGAUCAGCUACGCCGCGGUGAAUAUGUUCCCGAGCCUUGUACACACCGCCCGUCAAGCCACCCAAGCAUGGGGCGCCUUAAGUCCGUUACCUAACCUUCGGGAGGGUGCGGCCCAGGGUGAAACGUGUGAGGAGGGCUAAGUCGUAACAAGGUA